UACGUAGGGUGCAAGCGUUGUCCGGAAUUAUUGGGCGUAAAGAGCUCGUAGGCGGUUUGUCACGUCUGCUGUGAAAACUCGGGGCUUAACCCCGGGCCUGCAGUGGGUACGGGCAGACUAGAGUGCGGUAGGGGAGACUGGAAUUCCUGGUGUAGCGGUGAAAUGCGUAGAUAUCAGGAGGAACACCGGUGGCGAAGGCGGGUCUCUGGGCCGUAACUGACGCUGAGGAGCGAAAGCGUGGGGAGCGAACAGG
rnacentral:rRNA from 1 species